rnacentral:rRNA from 1 species
AGAGUUUGAUCCUGGCUCAGGACGAACGCUGGCGGCGUGCUUAACACAUGCAAGUCGAACGGAGCACCCUUGAAAGAGUUUUCGGACAAUGGAGAGGAAUGCUUAGUGGCGGACUGGUGAGUAACGCGUGAGGAACCUGCCUUCCAGAGGGGGACAACAGUUGGAAACGACUGCUAAUACCGCAUGACACAUUUGAAUCGCAUGGUUUGAAUGUCAAAGAUUUAUCGCUGGAAGAUGGCCUCGCGUCUGAUUAGCUAGUAGGCGGGGUAACGGCCCACCUAGGCGACGAUCAGUAGCCGGACUGAGAGGUUGACCGGCCACAUUGGGACUGAGAUACGGCCCAGACUCCUACGGGAGGCAGCAGUGGGGAAUAUUGGGCAAUGGGCGCAAGCCUGACCCAGCAACGCCGCGUGAAGGAAGAAGGCUUUCGGGUUGUAAACUUCUUUUAAGAGGGAAGAGCAGAAGACGGUACCUCUUGAAUAAGCCACGGCUAACUACGUA